CCUGAGAACAGGGGAUGGCAGGACUGGGAGCGGUCCUGGAGCUGGACUUGGAGCUGAAGGCCCUCGUUGGGAGUUCCAGGUUUCCUGCUCCCCAGCUCUGUAACCUCAGGCCACAGCCUCUUUUUCACUAGGCCCGAGUUUCCUCCUCUAUAAUUUGGCCACAAAAGGAAGAAGAGAAAAUGAUGGUCAAAGCCUGGGGAGGAGAGUAAGGGCUCUCCGGGUUGGAGGAAGAAAAGUGUCAGUUUGCACGGGGCACACACAUGAGGGAGCUGCGUCACACCUUGGAAAGGCCCAUCUACCAUGUCCUGUGAGGAGGUAGAGGCAGGCAUCAUGAUAUCCAUCGACAAAGCAGAGGGAUUUCAUCGGAGGGAGACAAGGAUGGAGAAGGGACUUGGAGCCAUGCCAUGGAUCUGUCAAGGCAACAAGAGAAGGGAAGAUUUGGAGGAGAUGUGAGAGUUCUCUUCAAUAAUAUGAAAAGAUGGCAUAUGGAAGAGGGAUUGGAUGUUUUCUUCUUGGUCUUUCACUGUAACAGAAUCUCAGCUGCACCUGGGGGCUGCAACUGAACAAGGGUCUUCCUUACAAGAUCCCUGACAGACCCUUCAAGUUGAGAUGCUUCACUAAAGAAAUCCCCUCCUGGUGGUGUUGGAAUCUGCAGUGAAUCUCUAGGUCUCCCCCUCUGCUGAGCAGACACUACGUUAUUAAUAGACCUCUCUGCGGAGUUGGUUCCUGGGGAGUCUUAGCAGCUCUAAGAAUAACUGGGAAGAAUAUGUGCUCAUGGAUAGCACUGAGAUCACUGGACAUAAAUAAACAAGGAGCAUUUCGGGGCCCUUGUGUGAAAGAGGAAAAGCCCCCAUCACACCAGGAGGGGCAGAUAGGGAAAUGGAGGUCCAGGUACACAGAUGGAAUAGCAGAGUGGAUCUUCCAUCUCCAGGCUUCUGACUCCAAAGGCAACACUGUCUUCACUUCUCAAAAACAGCUGAUUAGACUGGGAGGUGGGUUACACCUCUUCAGCCAUCCAGGACAGGCCGGCCCUCCCUGCCUCUUGGUUGCCUGUUGUCCCUGCGGCAUCCAAGGUGGAACUCCUCGGUGAAAAAGGUGACCUUGGGUGGGAGGGGAGUUCCAAGUGAAUAAAACAAGCCUGGGAAUUAUGGGGCCUGGUAUGAGCAAAUGGUUCUCUCCACCUUUGUCUCCCUCAUCACUCAAAGCUCUGGCCCUCUCCCUGUGGAAAAGUGCAUAGGACUCCUGAGACUCUUGUGAAAUGGAGAUGGGGGUGGGGUGGAGAGACAGAGAGAGACAGAGACAGAGAGAGACAGAGAGGGACAGAGAGAGAGAGAGACAGAGACAGAGAGAGAGACAGAGAGAG